rnacentral:rRNA from 1 species
AGCGGCGGACGGGUGAGUAAUGUCUGGGAAACUGCCUGAUGGAGGGGGAUAACUACUGGAAACGGUAGCUAAUACCGCAUAACGUCGCAAGACCAAAGAGGGGGACCUUCGGGCCUCUUGCCACCGGAUGUGCCCAGAUGGGAUUAGCUAGUAGGUGGGGUAACGGCUCACCUAGGCGACGAUCCCUAGCUGGUCUGAGAGGAUGACCAGCCACACUGGAACUGAGACACGGUCCAGACUCCUACGGGAGGCAGCAUG